rnacentral:tRNA from 1 species
GGGACUGUGACCUAAUUGGCAAAGGUGCUGGUCUUAGAAAUCAGUUAUGGGAGUUCGAAUCUCCCCAGUCCCACCA